GAUCAAAGUGUAGUAUCUGUUCUUAUCAGCUUAAUAUCUGAUACGACCCCCAUCGGGGGUCAAGAUAUUAAUCUUAUUUUUGUCACGGGGCGGAGAGACUGAGGCUUGCUUCACCUCCGCCACGGGUUGGC
rnacentral:snRNA from 1 species